CUUUGGGCUUCUCUGCCAGGGCACUAAUUAGAGGGAGGUCUUAGUGUGGUAAUAAGGCAAAGACCUUCCCACACUUUUGGUCUCAUCUGCGUAGGCACUACCUUCCUGGUCAGGCCGCUUCCUUGGCCUGUUGGGUUCUGGGUGGUUCUGCAGUUUUGCAUACGUGGCAUCUGCCUUAAUUUCUAUUACACAAGCACAGUGGUGGGUAUAGUCUAAUGGACUGUGGUGCAGAAAAAAAGAAGGUAGGUUAGUCUGUGUGGAAGAGUGGAUCUCUUCCUGCUGACUGCCUUAUGGCCUCUGGAAAUGUUCUCACUGCCUCUGCUGAAAAGGCUUCACCUCUGUCCUUACUUCUUUGCAUCACUUCGGAUGAGCCAAACUUGCAUUUUGGAUCCUUGACCUGGCUACAAGCUGCUCCAGCAAAGCUAGGCGCUGCUCCUUAUCUUGGACAGGGUUAUCUCCUCAUGGCUGCCCCUCCUGACCUUGAAUGUGGAGUAGCUCCUCUCACCCCUCCUGCGCCCGCGCUGCUGCUGGUCCUUGGACAUGCAUUUGGUCCUCUCCCAUGGAAAUGAAAUGCAAAAAAGCAAAAUGGCUGUCUGGGGAGGCCUUACAAAUAGCUGUGAAAAGAAGAGAAG
ensembl:lncRNA